rnacentral:miRNA from 1 species
UAAAAUAUAUUUGAAAUCGGGCC